rnacentral:rRNA from 1 species
GAUGAACGCUGGCGGCGUGCCUAAUACAUGCAAGUCGAGCGAAUGGAUUAAGAGCUUGCUCUUAUGAAGUUAGCGGCGGACGGGUGAGUAACACGUGGGUAACCUGCCCAUAAGACUGGGAUAACUCCGGGAAACCGGGGCUAAUACCGGAUAACAUUUUGAACCGCAUGGUUCGAAAUUGAAAGGCGGCUUCGGCUGUCACUUAUGGAUGGACCCGCGUCGCACUAGCUAGUUGGUGAGGUAACGGCUCACCAAGGCAACGAUGCGUAGCCGACCUGAGAGGGUGCUCGGCCACACUGGGACUGAGACACGGCCCAGACUCCUACGGGAGGCAGCAGUAGGGAAUCUUCCGCAGUGGACGAAAGUCUGACGGAGCAACGCCGCGUGAGUGAUGAAGGCUUUCGGGUCGUAAAACUCUGUUGUUAGGGAAGAACAAGUGCUAGUUGAAUAAGCUGGCACCUUGACGGUACCUAACCAGAAAGCCACGGCUAACUACGUGCCAGCCGCCGCCGUAA